rnacentral:rRNA from 1 species
UCUGGAGACAGAGCUUCCCUUCGGGGCAGCGGUGACAGGUGGUGCAUGGUUGUCGUCAGCUCGUGUCGUGAGAUGUUGGGUUAAGUCCCGCAACGAGCGCAACCCUUAUCUUUAGUUGCCAGCAUUCAGUUGGGCACUCUAGAGAGACUGCCGUCGACAAGACGGAGGAAGGCGGGGAUGACGUCAAAUCAUCAUGCCCCUUAUGACCUGGGCUACACACGUGCUACAAUGGUUGGUACAACGGGAUGCUACCUCGCGAGAGGACGCCAAUCUCUUAAAACCAAUCUCAGUUCGGAUUGUAGGCUGCAACUCGCCUACAUGAAGUCGGAAUCGCUAGUAAUCGCGGAUCAGCAUGCCGCGGUGAAUACGUUCCCGGGCCUUGUACACACCGCCCGUCACACCACGGGAGUUUGCAACACCCGAAGUCGGUGAGGUAACCGCAAGGGGCCAGCCGCCGAAGGUGGGGUAGAUGACUGGGGUGAAGUCGUAACAAGGUAUCCGUACCGGAA